UGAGUUAUCAUCAACCUGGACCCCUGAAGUUUCCUCCUAUCGGGUUGGGAAAAUAUCGUCAUAUAAUUCUGAAGCAAAUAGAGUUUUACUGAUGCCAGUAGCUGAAUUUCCAGUCAUUUGUACUAAGGAUGAGUCUUCAAAGCAACCAGAUAGCUCUAUUUAUAAUGAAGACGGAUCUCCGGAGAUAGAAUUUUCAGC